AAGAGAAUAUGACAUAUAAAAAGCUUCUAGCUAUUUUAUAAAAUGGUUAAAUUCCAUUUUUCUCUUA
rnacentral:tRNA from 1 species